AGAGUUUGAUCCUGGCUCAGGAUGAACGCUGGCGGCGUGCUUAACACAUGCAAGUCGAACGAAGCACCUUAUUCUGAUUUCUUCGGAAUGAAAAAUUUGGUGACUGAGUGGCGGACGGGUGAGUAACGCGUGGGUAACCUGCCUCAUACAGGGGGAUAACAGUUAGAAAUGACUGCUAAUACCGCAUAAGACCACAGCACCGCAUGGUGCAGGGGCAAAAACUCCGGUGGUAUGAGAUGGACCCGCGUCUGAUUAGGUAGUUGGUGGGGUAACGGCCUACCAAGCCGACGAUCAGUAGCCGACCUGAGAGGGUGACCGGCCACAUUGGGACUGAGACACGGCCCAAACUCCUACGGGAGGCAGCAGUAGGGAAUUUUCGUCAAUGGGGGGAACCCUGAACGAGCAAUGCCGCGUGAGUGAAGAAGGUCUUCGGAUCGUAAAGCUCUGUUGUAAGAGAAAAACGACAUUCAUAGGGAAUGAUGAGUGAGUGAUGGUAUCUUACCAGAAAGUCACGGCUAACUACGUGCCAGCAGCCGCGGUAAUACGUAGGUGGCGAGCGUUAUCCGGAAUCAUUGGGCGUAAAGAGGGAGCAGGCGGCCGCAAGGGUCUGUGGUGAAAGACCGAAGCUAAACUUCGGUAAGCCAUGGAAACCGGGCGGCUAGAGUGCGGAAGAGGAUCGUGGAAUUCCAUGUGUAGCGGUGAAAUGCGUAGAUAUAUGGAGGAACACCAGUGGCGAAGGCGACGGUCUGGGCCGCAACUGACGCUCAUUCCCGAAAGCGUGGGGAGCAAAUAGGAUUAGAUACCCUAGUAGUCCACGCCGUAAACGAUGGUCACUAAGUGUCGGGGGUCAAACCCCGGUGCUGCAGUCAACGCAAUAAGUGACCCGCCUGAGUAGUACGUUCGCAAGAAUGAAACUCAAAGGAAUUGACGGGGGCCCGCACAAGCGGUGGAGCAUGUGGUUUAAUUCGAAGCAACGCGAAGAACCUUACCAGGUCUUGACAUACCAGUGACCGUCCUAGAGAUAGGAUUUUCCCUUCGGGGACAAUGGAUACAGGUGGUGCAUGGUUGUCGUCAGCUCGUGUCGUGAGAUGUUGGGUUAAGUCCCGCAACGAGCGCAACCCCUGUCGUUAGUUGCCAGCAUUCAGUUGGGGACUCUAACGAGACUGCCAGUGACAAACUGGAGGAAGGUGGGGAUGACGUCAAAUCAUCAUGCCCCUUAUGACCUGGGCUACACACGUGCUACAAUGGUUGGUACAAAGAGAAGCGAAGCGGUGACGUGGAGCAAACCUCAUAAAGCCAAUCUCAGUUCGGAUUGUAGGCUGCAACUCGCCUACAUGAAGUUGGAAUCGCUAGUAAUCGCGAAUCAGCAUGUCGCGGUGAAUACGUUCCCGGGUCUUGCACUCACCGCCCGUCA
rnacentral:rRNA from 1 species